rnacentral:rRNA from 1 species
GUGAAGGUGGCCUGUGAGGGUUGCUGGAGGUAUCAGAAGUGCGAAUGCUGACAUAAGUAACGAUAAAGCGGGUGAAAAGCCCGCUCGCCGGAAGACCAAGGGUUCCUGUCCAACGUUAAUCGGGGCAGGGUGAGUCGACCCCUAAGGCGAGGCCGAAAGGCGUAGUCGAUGGGAAACGGGUUAAUAUUCCCGUACUUGGUGUUACUGCGAAGGGGGGACGGAGAAGGCUAUGUUGGCCGGGCGACGGUUGUCCCGGUUUAAGCGUGUAGGUGUGUGUUCCAGGUAAAUCCGGUUCACUUUAACACUGAGGCGUGACGACGAGGCACUACGGUGCUGAAGCAACAAAUGCCCUGCUUCCAGGAAAAGCCUCUAAGCAUCAGGUAACAUCAAAUCGUACCCCAAACCGACACAGGUGGUCAGGUAGAGAAUACCAAGGCGCUUGAGAGAACUCGGGUGAAGGAACUAGGCAAAAUGGUGCCGUAACUUCGGGAGAAGGCACGCUGACACGUAGGUGAAGUGAUUUACUCAUGGAGCUGAAGUCAGUCGAAGAUACCAGCUGGCUGCAACUGUUUAUUAAAAACACAGCACUGUGCAAACACGAAAGUGGACGUAUACGGUGUGACGCCUGCCCGGUGCCGGAAGGUUAAUUGAUGGGGUCAGCGCAAGCGAAGCUCCUGAUCGAAGCCCCGGUAAACGGCGGCCGUAACUAUAACGGUCCUAAGGUAGCGAAAUUCCUUGUCGGGUAAGUUCCGACCUGCACGAAUGGCGUAAUGAUGGCCAGGCUGUCUCCACCCGAGACUCAGUGAAAUUGAACUCGCUGUGAAGAUGCAGUGUACCCGCGGCAAGACGGAAAGACCCCGUGAACCUUUACUAUAGCUUGACACUGAACAUUGAGCCUUGAUGUGUAGGAUAGGUGGGAGGCUUUGAAG